rnacentral:rRNA from 1 species
GACUUCGGUCUGGUGGCGAGUGGCGAACGGGUGAGUAAUAUAUCGGAACAUACCCAGUAGUGGGGGAUAACUAUCCGAAAGGAUAGCUAAUACCGCAUACGAUCUGUGGAUGAAAGCAGGGGAUCUUCGGACCUUGUGCUAUUGGAAUGGCCGAUAUCUGAUUAGCUAGUUGGUAGGGUAAAAGCCUACCAAGGCGACGAUCAGUAGCUGGUCUGAGAGGACGACCAGCCACACUGGAACUGAGACACGGUCCAGACUCCUACGGGAGGCAGCAGCGGGGAAUUUUGGACAAUGGGGGCAACCCUGAUCCAGCAAUGCCGCGUGAGUGAAGAAGGCCCUCGGGUUGUAAAGCUCUUUUGUCAGGGAAGAAACGGAGUUCUCUAAUAUAGGAUUCUAAUGACGGUACCUGAAGAAUAAGCACCGGCUAACUACGUGCCAGCAGCCGCGGUAAUACGUAGGGUGCAAGCGUUAAUCGGAAUUACUGGGCGUAAAGCGUGCGCAGGCGGUUUUGUAAGUCUGGUGUGAAAUCCCCGGGCUCAACCUGGGAACUGCAUUGGAGACUGCAAGGCUAGAGUGUGUCAGAGGGGGGUAGAAUUCCACGUGUAGCAGUGAAAUGCGUAGAGAUGUGGAGGAAUACCGAUGGCGAAGGCAGCCCCCUGGGAUAACACUGACGCUCAUGCACGAAAGCGUGGGGAGCAAACAGGAUUAGAUACCCUGGUAGUCCACGCCCUAAACGAUGUCUACUAGUUGUCGGGACUUAAUUGUCUUGGUAACGCAGCUAACGCGUGAAGUAGACCGCCUGGGGAGUACGUCGCAAG